AUGUCUUCAGGGAUGUCAGGUAAGACCAGAACCUGCCAGCACUGUCCUCCGAGACGUGGCUCCUGGCUGAGGAAGCCAGCAGUAGUCUUAGGACUCCUGGGAGGUAUUGAACUAUGUUGGAGCAGAUGGAGAUGGGGAUGUUGUGACCAGGAGACGUGUGCCCUUCCGAUCUGCUGGGCAGCCCCUCCCCACCAGCACGCACCGCCUGGGACACAGUGGGAAGGGGGCUCCGUAAUGACUGGGGACUGUGUAGGGGUGUGUGCUCUGUGUGUGCAUCAAUCACCUGCGUGUCCACACAGAUGGCAGAGAAACACGCCGGUGUCGCUGUGGUAUUUGUGUUUGUCGGGAUCCGGCCCCCAGCAUGACACCGGUGGGUGGCUGGGAGGCGGGCGUGGUGGGAACGGGACAUGCUGCUAGGGUGUGGGCCCAUGAGUGCAUUCACGUAGGCACCAUGCGCAAGAGUGCAUCCACGGUGCACCAGCCCCUGUGUCUCUCUACGGCAGCAUGGUGUGCACAUGUGGGCAGUGUGGUGCACCUGUGGGGCACACUGGAUGUGUAUGUGGCAACACAGGCUGGGUGCUUACAUGUCAGUGUUGCAUGUACAUGUGUGUAGUGUGUGUAGUACAUGUGUGUGUGGUGUGUGUGCAUCUUGUCAGGCUGGGGUACAUGUGUGUGCCAGAGCUGAGUGUGAAGAUGUGUUGGCAGUAGGCUCAUACGUGUGCCGGUGGUGGGCAUGUGUGUUGCUAUGUGACAGUGUGCUUGUAUACUGUGAGCAUCGUGUGUGUGUCGACCUUCUGUGAGCAUGGACAGUGGUGUGUGUGUGUGUGUGUGUGUGUUUGUGUGUGUUUAAAGAAUUCUUUUUAUUUAUUUGAAAGACAGAGUUGCAUAGAGAGGUAGAGCCAGAGAGAGAGAUCUUCCAUCCACUGGUUCACUCCCCAAAUGUGGCUGGAGUUGUGCCGAUCCAAAGCCAGGAGCCAGGAGCUUCUUCCAAGUCUCCCAUGUGGGUGCAGGGGCCCAAGCACUUAGGCCAUCUUCUACUGCUUUCCCAGGCCACAGCAGAGCACUGGAUUGGAUGUGGAGCAGCUGGGACUCGAACUGGUGCCCAUAAGGGAUCCAGCACUGUAGGCUGGAGCUUUAACCCACUGAACCACAGCACCAGCCCCGUGUUGUGUAUGUAGAUCUGUGUCCAUGGCAGGGAUGUA
rnacentral:lncRNA from 1 species